UAAUUUUGAAGGACAUAUCAAUCAAAUACAACUAUAUUUUCAUUAAAAUGUAUUCUCAGUGGCAAACUUUAUCUUUGUUUUUAUGCUUUUCUUAUAGCUUAAAUAACUCAGUUAACUUCACUUAAGGCUCAUUAAAUUAGUUAAAAAAAAACUCAUAGUCGAAGAACAAAAUAAAACAUAGAGAAAAUUUUGGGAGUAACAUAUCGAAGUAGGUAAAAUGUCCUCACUCGUGGAAGAAACGAUAAAAAGCUAUGGUGGCAACAUAUGUUUCACAAUCAUUACCUUAUCAACUCACAUAUGACCAACUUUCACUCUGUGGCCAUGAAAUGGCUGUCGUGGAUAGAGCAUUUCUGGCCUGCUUUUCUUCCCAACAUACAUUUCAAAUUUCAUUCACUAAAUUAUAAAUGAUAAUAAUAUAAUUUUUAAUAUUAUUUAACAAAAAACGAGCUUCCCAUCAAUACCCAUGUCAAAAUGAGGUCUUUUAAAUUUCUUUUUCUAUGUUAGUUUCAACUUCGUAUAAAAUAUAUAUUCGAAAUAUCUGUUUAGUUAUAUGUAAUUUCUGUGUUGUUUUGAAUUUUCGCGACUUUGAUUGAGAGUUAAGGUUCAUUUUAGGGAUUUUUUCAUUGUUGCGAUAUUUGUGGUUUAAUUGAAAUGCUUGCUUAACUUGUAAAUAAUUGUCACACACGACACAAUAAAAACGCUAUCUAUCUAUUCCUGAUAAUUGCAGGUUGAGCAUGUUUGCCGGAUGGGUACACAGCUGUUGCAGACAUAUUACAAUCAGCUACUUUCCAAACUAGCUGUCAGACUUGUCUUAACUGCUUUCAGUGACAUUUUUAGCACAGUUUAACCAUGGUUGAAUCGUUGAGACAUGAAUCAAUACUUUUUUGGUCUAGCUUUUAAAGCAUUGUUGGGCAGUAAAUCUUUGUUAUCAGUACCAGAUAACAAGUUUUAAAAUCUUAGAUGUCUUGGAUUGCUUAAUAAAUAAUUUAGAGAUAACAUGUCAGGAAGUAUUUCAAUAGAGAAAUUGUAUAAUAGUUUUGGAAUGUAUAAAUUUGUGCAUGAUAGGAUAAUUUUUAUGGCAAUUUAGGAUACUUUGAUUUGUCUUGUAGAAGAUGGGAUAUAUGGCUAUUUUGGUUUUUUUGAACACCCCUACCUAUUGAUGCAUGGAAAAAUCUCAGCUUUUUGUUUUCCAAUUAUCAGUGGACUUAUUACNNN
rnacentral:lncRNA from 1 species